UAUAGGAUAUAAUAAAUGCAUUUGUCAGGAAGAUGCAAAAAUAUCUAAUGUACAUAUUUCCGACUGCAUUAAAGUAAAAUAAAUAAUAAAAACGUUGCAAUUGGAGUUAGGAAUUGUGUGGUAUAGGAAAAGUGGCUAGGGUACUGUCCUGGCCAGGGUAAUUACUGUACAUCUACGUUACGGCCAUAAUUUAAUCAACUUUGAGUCUAUAUUUGGAGGAUUAAUUUAAUUUAUAUUUUUUAUGCCUCGAUAAUCCAUAAUAAUACCGAUAUUAAAAUAGUAACAAUGUUAACAAAAGUUUAAAAACAACUUACAAAUGGAUUAAAUAUAAUUUGUACUUUUUUAUACAACACAUUAAAUGCGACAUACGAAUAAAGAUAUAUAACAUGUCUUGGCUCUAAGGAGCAAAUAACAACAACAUUAGGGUCGUCCAUCUCCACAACCCACUACUUGCCUUACAACCGCUAUUCGCUAGUUAUAUUAUAUUUACAUUUUCUACAUUUUACCCAUUAAAUCCCCAUUUAACACUAUUAAAAUGCGUUUUUCAUCUAUUCCAAUUUUAUUCCUUACAACUGGUGCUAUUACCGCCCAAAUUCAGGAUUCUUCUACUAAAAACCCCAAUCAAGUCGUUAACCGCAACGCGAAACUUUCAAGUCGGAACCUUGAACGCCGAAAUGAAAAUUAUUGGCGAUGUGUGAAUAUUUGUAUAGCUGGGGGUGUUUUUGGGGCACUUAAAUUCACGGAUAUUACUGUUCGAGAUUCGGUGCAUUGUGCCGGAGCAUGCGCUGCUGUUUUUGGUUAUCCUGAAUAAUUGAAAAAGAAGAUGUUGGAAUAGAGCAGAACGCGUUCAAUUCGUCAAUUCAAUUGAUAAAUCACCCGGUCUCAACCACACGUACAAGAAGGAACGACGUGUGAGGAUCAGGCCCCCAGACCUACCCUCAGAAUCACGACUCGGCUCUACAAGCCACGCUGAGCCAGGGAUCGGACAAAGGGAUCGAUUGACCCCGGAUUUAAACACGUCUCUCCAGCGCGCUGUCAAUUGUAAUUUCUCUCUUCCCUUCAGUUUAGAAUUUUCGUCGAUAGCGCCUAAUAUAUUGAGGUUCUCCAAUAUAUGCCAGGCCGUGACACAAACCGUCAAACGAACCCUCCGUGCACCUUAGGCACGGGGUCGCGUUAAUAAACUAACCCCCUAAACAAAACCGGGCCCGAAUCCGGUUGGGCAUAAUACGCCUUUGCCCUUUUUGUUUUCCCCCUAUGUAAAUAAAAAAGAUAGAAUGCGCGCCGCAAUUCCCCUCGGGAGGUUGCAAACGGCCGGUUAACAAACCGGGCCGAGCCCGGCGUUAAAUAAUAAUAUUACUACUAUUAUUAUUUAAUACGCAGGCGUUACAUCUUUUAUAAUCCCCCGGGCUGGUAUUUUAUAAUAAUAUAUUUUACCUCGGUAAUUUAAUUAGGUAAAUUAAUUGCUGAACUGUUAUUUAAAACACUUAUAUUAGCUAUUAUACUAAUAAUUUUAAAUAUAAUAAUUAUUAUAUAGGUUAUAUAUAAUACAAAUAAAAUUUAAAUAGGUUAAUAAUUUAUUAAAUGCUAGGUACAGUUAUUUUUAAAAUGCUCAUUUAUUUAGAAAUUACUUUUGGCCAGUAAAAAUCUGCUUUAUUUGUUUUAAAACAAACAAACGUGUAUUUUUCUGCUUUAUAUAACCCGAUUCGAAUUUACCGUUUCGAAAUUCCGAUUUAAAACACUGCUUGUUUAUUUUACAUGCGCGCAUUACCUUCAAUUUUUAUUUGAUUUCAAAUUCAACUAUUGGAAUCCUCCCACCGUACAAAAAUGCGUCCCUUUACGACUAUUACUGCUUUUAUAUUAUUUUUUAACGUUGCGGCUUUAAGCAGUUUUUAACCUGCUUUUAAU
rnacentral:sRNA from 1 species